GAAGAAACUGGGGAGAGUAUUUCAGGCAGAAGGAACAGCCUGUGCAAAGGUCUUGGGCUGGAAAUGAGCUUGAUGUGUUGGGGGACAGCAAGGAGGCCAAGUGCUGAGCUGAGUGGAGACACAAGGUUGGGGGCUAUAGCCACGGGAGGUGGGGGUGGGGGGUUGGAAUUCUAUUCCCAGUGAGAUGGGAAGCCCUUUAGAGGGCUGUGAACAGAAAUGAUGGCCUCUGACUUGGAUUUUGGAACACAUUGUGACUGCUGGAAUGGGGGUUUGGAAUGGGGAAUGGGAACCAGUACCAUGGAGAGGCCCAGUUAGGAGCUGCUGUACAGGCAGGUGACAGGCGGGACAGAUGGAGGGCCAUGGGACUGGGGCACUUGGAUGGAGGUGAUGGGAGAAGAGGAAUGUGGUAUGGCUGCAUGGUUGGGCUGCCAGAGGAAGAGGAGGUCCAAGAGGACCCCACAGGGUUUGGCGCGAGGAAAUGGAAGAACAGGGUCGCCAUGCACUGAGCCCCUGGGCCUCCCUUUCCGAAGGUCGGCACUGAUAAGUCCCUGAUACGGAGGGCGACAAAGAUCCGGCUUAGAUUCCCAGGUGCCUUCAGCUUCCAGAACACUCGGGCUUAAGCGAGGGAGGACACAGCUCCAGAUGACAGGAGCAGGCUCCCCAGGAAGAGGGUGCCUGGAGGCCUGCCAAGCAGGCCGGCUACCCACCUAGCGCGCCGUUGGUAAACACGCCAGUUUCCAAUAACAGAGGGGCGACCACACCCGGCCCCGCCCCUGACAGCCAGCGAGCCGCGCCGGCUCCAGCUCCGGGCAGGAGGCAGUCUGCGCUCACAUGAUGGGCCGCGGGGGUGGCAGGAGGAGCCUGGCGGGACCUCAGCGGGUCUGGCAGGGGGCUCCGGGAAGUCCUUCUGAAAAUGGGCCCCGGGCGGCGCAGGCCGGCGGUAAACAAACGCCGUGAAGUCACGGGCGCCGCUGACCUGCGGCUGAACCCUGAGCUGUAAAUGAGAUGCAAGGUGCCAGCAGCCUCCAGGCCGCACCGCCUGCGAGCCACACACGCUCCUGCGCGCCGGCCCGAGGUUACCCCAGCUGCACACACGGACAGGAUGCUGCAAACGCCACCAGACAUUGCAACACGCAGCCAGUCUGCUGGCCGCAGCGUGAACCCUCCGCCGCCCCCCUGGCAGGCACCAGCCCAGCUGGAGCGCAGCCUCCCUCCUCGGAACAUCCCCGGGGGCUGGCGGCUUCCACCCAUCUGGGGGUCAGCCUCUGUACUCGGGGCCUCGUCCCUGGCUCUCCAGGGACCCUCCAUAUCCGAGGGCUGGGCUCCUGGGGUCAGCUUCGGGCUUUCUGCCCAGCAGAUUGGGGGAGUGCCUGCCUUGGCACUUGGCUUUCUGGGAAGCUCGUUCCUCCUAGGGGAAGCGGAAGAGCUGGAGCGCUUGAGGCCCUUCCUCCAGGUGUAAGGAGAUGCCAGAGUGUCCCGCCGGCUGCUCACCAGCCACUGCCCACCUGCACCGAGCUCCCACAGCAGCCCUGGACUGUGCACCCUUGGCAGCAGGGCGGGUGUCUGAACUGCCCUUCAGAAGGAAAGCAGCCUGGCUGGAGCCAGGCAGGCCAGCAUUCUGCUCUGGAGUUGAUUUGCUGUGCGACUUUUGGAUAAGUCACGUGGCAUCUCUGAACUUCACCAUCUCCCUCUGGGGAAGCGGGGAGAAUCAAAACUGGCCUCCGUGUGCUGGUGUGGGGAAGGUCGCGCAUGCAAGAAAUCAGAACAGGCUGCCAGGGUUGGUCGGAAGCCUCAGGGGCAGGGGUCUGCCCAGGUAAAAACGUGGAUACGCCCAGAGAAACCAAAGCGGGCCCCCUCCUCACCCGCUGUCCCCCAACUCGGCCUUCUGGGUUUACAUUGAGAAGCUGUGGCUGGUGGGGGAGGGAGAUGGGUAGACUGUCCCCUGGGCCUAAGGAAUCCCCACACUGGCUCCCCUACUUGGACCCCACUACCUCCAAGUCCAUGUGGGGUUUUGAGAACCUGGAAGUGACCUCAGAUCUUCCAAAAGCACCCAAGAAUGCAACAAGUCAUGGCUUAACAGCAGAGCCAAUUCUGGCUUCCCUUUCACUGAAGGGAAUAUACAAGUCCCUCCCUGUCACAUCACCCUGUUUUACUGUUUUUACAGCAUUUUGUCACUACCUGAAGUUUUAAUAGUUAUUUGUUUACUUGUA